AGUGUAAGUGUAACCACUGUUCAGGACAGUAAGCUUAGGACAAAUGAAAAAACUGUUGCUUCUCUUUUUAAGGAAAUCUUUAGUUCUUGUAGUUCAUUUUCAUUAAAAAUGGAGGAUCUGUAAAGUCUAACUUAGAGCAAAGUAUUUGAAAUGCUGGGAACGAGAAUGCGUGUUCUGCAAACAACCCUUGCCAUACUUCAGCCUGUGUCUUCUGCACCAUAGAUGGUUACCCAAAUACUCCAAGUGCCUUUCAGUUCAUGGUGAGCUUUGUGGAAUAGGAGGUUUUAGAUGCUAUAAACAAAGCCAAAGCACUCUUGAUCUUCGGCUGGAACUGGCACUGAAAAUGCGGUUCUAGGGAUCACGGCAUCUGGAUGAGUACCAACCCAAGGUUAAACAGGAGGAAUAGGGAAGGCAAGGAUUGCUUGUGGUCUGCCUGGGGAGGGUAAUGGAUGAUGGGUAUACCGCUAGGAUUCUACAUGGAGUAUGAGGCGUGGAGAUGCUGUCCCUUACCUGGCAGGAUUGAGUGGGUUUCUAAGUAAAUGGUUUUUGAUGUAGUUGGUGAUUCUGAUGAAAGCAACUAACAGAAGUUGCUAUUGGGGGUGCAUGUGAUUUGCAUUAGCGAAGUGCCGAUGUAGCACAGAGGGAACAAGGGCUGGAAUACAGGGAUGUCCCAUGGACAGGACAUGCUCAGAUCAAGUGUUGCUUGUGGAACCUUAGUUCUGAGUUUCCAGACUAUGAAAUGCUUUGCUCAGAAAUGUUUGCGGGUUGUGGUUGGGUUGGGUUGGGUUUUGGCUUUGUUGUUGUUUUGUGAUGACGUCUAGGCACCUCCCCCCAAACCAGAGUUCUAUCUCGCUGGGUACAAUCUGAACAAAUCACUGAAAAUUUGCACCUCCCAGAGCAGUUAGUGGGGUGGGACGACAGCAAAAGUGCACAGAGAGAAGCAGAAAAUGAGAUUUUUGUUGUUUCUGAUCUCCCACCUAUGCCGUGUGGGCUGGCUUGUAGAUAAUGUGAAAGGGACAGAUUUAAAGAGGGAUUUAGAAUAGAUUAAACCAGCAGCUCUUUAGGUACGAGGUGAGGCUUUUUUCCUUGAGUUGGUGUACGGUGCUGAAGAAAAGUUGCAUUUUUUAAAUAUCCUUUGAUUAUUGUAUUCACUUCACUCAAAAAACUUCUCAACAGAGUACAGAAAAAUUCUGGAAUCUGAUGGGAACACCCUCUUUUCUCAUCCUCUGCAGCGCUGCAGUACGGUGUGUUACCAAUUGGGCCUUCUUCACAGGGCAUAUUGGGCAAGUGACUUUGCAGAGUUUCCCGUAGGUAUUACUUUUUUUUCAUAUGAAAGACAUGGUUUGUAAUUACAGAUGUAGCAGCCCUUGUACGUGUCAAACAAGAUUGCGUAGUAGAACGAACACAACGCUGAGUGUGCCAAAAUCUCCCAGUGCUCUGGUGGUACAAGUGGCACGUGGUGCUCAGUCCCAUUCUAAAUGCAGUUGUAUCACCUUCUGCUGGGACUCCGGGAACUUUUGGCAUCUUCAGCACCAUUGGGCCCUGGCAACUGAACCAAGUAUUUGGGGAAGAUUGGUAGCUGAGGGUUCACAGGGAUCUGAGCCGUGUCCAGCAGAAGUUUGCAGUCUCUAAAUGCCAUGGUGUGACCAAAGCGUGUGGUGGCAAGCCACGGCACCAGCCUGCAAUGAGAAGGACAAAAGAGGAAAGUAAAUUGGAAGUUUCAAGGCCUG
ensembl:lncRNA